GAUGAACGCUGGCGGCGUGCCUAAUACAUGCAAGUCGAGCGAACAGACGAGGAGCUUGCUCCUCUGACGUUAGCGGCGGACGGGUGAGUAACACGUGGAUAACCUACCUAUAAGACUGGGAUAACUUCGGGAAACCGGAGCUAAUACCGGAUAAUAUAUUGAACCGCAUGGUUCAAUAGUGAAAGACGGUUUUGCUGUCACUUCUAGAUGGAUCCGCGCCGCAUGAGCUAGUUGGUAAGGUAACGGCUUACCAAGGCAACGAGGCGUAGCCGACCUGAGAGGGGGAUCGGCCACCCGGGAACUGAGACACGGUCCAGACUCCUACGGGAGGCAGCAGUAGGGAAUCUUCCGCAAUGGGCGAAAGCCUGACGGAGCAACGCCGCGUGAGUGAUGAAGGUCUUCGGAUCGUAAAACUCUGUUAUUAGGGAAGAACAAAUGUGUAAGUAACUAUGCACGUCUUGACGGUACCUAAUCAGAAAGCCACGGCUAACUACGUG
rnacentral:rRNA from 1 species